rnacentral:rRNA from 1 species
GUGAGUAGCGAAAGACGGGUGAGAAUCCCGUCCACCGAUUGACUAAGGUUUCCAGAGGAAGGCUCGUCCGCUCUGGGUUAGUCGGGUCCUAAGCUGAGGCCGACAGGCGUAGGCGAUGGAUAACAGGUUGAUAUUCCUGUACCACCUAUAAUCGUUUUAAUCGAUGGGGGGACGCAGUAGGAUAGGCGAAGCGUGCGAUUGGAUUGCACGUCUAAGCAGUAAGGCUGAGUAUUAGGCAAAUCCGGUACUCAUUAAGGCUGAGCUGUGAUGGGGAGAAGACAUUGUGUCUUCGAGUCGUUGAUUUCACACUGCCGAGAAAAGCCUCUAGAUAGAAAAUAGGUGCCCGUACCGCAAACCGACACAGGUAGUCAAGAUGAGAAUUCUAAGGUGAGCGAGCGAACUCUCGUUAAGGAACUCGGCAAAAUGACCCCGUAACUUCGGGAGAAGGGGUGCUCUUUAGGGUUAACGCCCAGAAGAGCCGCAGUGAAUAGGCCCAAGCGACUGUUUAUCAAAAACACAGGUCUCUGCUAAACCGUAAGGUGAUGUAUAGGGGCUGACGCCUGCCCGGUGCUGGAAGGUUAAGAGGAGUGGUUAGCUUCUGCGAAGCUACGAAUCGAAGCCCCAGUAAACGGCGGCCGUAACUAUAACGGUCCUAAGGUAGCGAAAUUCCUUGUCGGGUAAGUUCCGACCCGCACGAAAGGCGUAACGAUUUGGGCACUGUCUCAACGAGAGACUCGGUGAAAUCAUAGUACCUGUGAAGAUGCAGGUUACCCGCGACAGGACGGAAAGACCCCGUGGAGCUUUACUGUAGCCUGAUAUUGAAAUUCGGCACAGCUUGUACAGGAUAGGUAGGAGCCUUUGAAACGUGAGCGCUAGCUUACGUGGAGGCGCUGGUGGGAUACUACCCUAGCUGUGUUGGCUUUCUAACCCGCACCACUUAUCGUGGUGGGAGACAGUGUCAGGCGGGCAGUUUGACUGGGGCGGUCGCCUCCUAAAAGGUAACGGAGGCGCUCAAAGGUUCCCUCAGAAUGGUUGGAAAUCAUUCAUAGAGUGUAAAGGCAUAAGGGAGCUUGACUGCGAGACCUACAAGUCGAGCAGGGUCGAAAGACGGACUUAGUGAUCCGGUGGUUCCGCAUGGAAGGGCCAUCGCUCAACGGAUAAAAGCUACCCCGGGGAUAACAGGCUUAUCUCCCCCAAGAGUUCACAUCGACGGGGAGGUUUGGCACCUCGAUGUCGGCUCAUCGCAUCCUGGGGCUGUAGUCGGUCCCAAGGGUUGGGCUGUUCGCCCAUUAAAGCGGUACGCGAGCUGGGUUCAGAACGUCGUGAGACAGUUCGGUCCCUAUCCGUCGUGGGCGUAGGAAAUUUGAGAGGAGCUGUCCUUAGUACGAGAGGACCGGGAUGGACAUACCUCUGGUGUACCAGUUGUCGUGCCAACGGCAUAGCUGGGUAGCUAUGUGUGGACGGGAUAAGUGCUGAAAGCAUCUAAGCAUGAAGCCCCCCUCAAGAUGAGAUUUCCCAACUUCGGUUAUAAGAUCCCUCAAAGAUGAUGAGGUUAAUAGGUUCGAGGUGGAAGCAUGGUGACAUGUGGAGCUGACGAAUACUAA